GUGUCAUAGGGAAGGAGAGAAAGAUAGCCCUCUCUCUAAUAGGAAUGGAAGAGGGUCUCAUAGCCUGUAUAGCACGUAUACACACGGUUAGGCAUUGUUACCCACGUCAUGGUUUCUCUGGUUUU
ensembl:snRNA U6atac minor spliceosomal RNA